rnacentral:rRNA from 1 species
GAUGAACGCUAGCGACAGGCUUAACACAUGCAAGUCGAGGGGCAGCACGUCUUCGGAUGGUGGCGACCGGCGCACGGGUGAGUAACGCGUAUGCAACCUACCCAUAACAGGGGGAUAGCCCGUUGAAAGACGGAUUAAUACCGCAUAACACAGGGGUACCGCAUGGUACUAUUUGUUAAAGAUUUAUUGGUUAUGGAUGGGCAUGCGUUCCAUUAGUUAGUUGGUAAGGUAACGGCUUACCAAGACGUCGAUGGAUAGGGGAACUGAGAGGUUUAUCCCCCACACCGGUACUGAGACACGGACCGGACUCCUACGGGAGGCAGCAGUGAGGAAUAUUGGUCAAUGGUCGAGAGACUGAACCAGCCAAGUCGCGUGAAGGAUGAAGGUAUUCUGUAUCGUAAACUUCUUUUAUUUAGGAAUAAAAAAGGGGAUGUAUCCCCUCUUGUAUGUACUAUAUGAAUAAGCAUCGGCUAACUCCGUGCCAGCAGCCGCGGUAAUACGGAGGAUGCGAGCGUUAUCCGGAUUUAUUGGGUUUAAAGGGUGCGUAGGUGGAUAUAUAAGUCAGUGGUGAAAUCCCGAUGCUCAACAUCGGCACUGCCAUUGAAACUGUAUAUCUUGAGUGUGAACGAGGUAGGCGGAAUUCGUAGUGUAGCGGUGAAAUGCAUAGAUAUUACGAAGAACUCCGAUAGCGCAGGCAGCUUACCAGGCCACAACUGACACUGAAGCACGAAAGUGUGGGUAUCAAACAGGAUUAGAUACCCUGGUAGUCCACACAGUAAACGAUGAUAACUAACUGUUUGCGAUAUAAUGUAAGUGGUACAGCGAAAGCGUUAAGUUAUCCACCUGGGGAGUACGCCGGCAACGGUGAAACUCAAAGGAAUUGACGGGGGCCCGCACAAGCGGAGGAACAUGUGGUUUAAUUCGAUGAUACGCGAGGAACCUUACCCGGGCUCGAACGGCAGAUGAAUGCCUUGGAAACAAGCAGUCCGCAAGGACAUCUGUCGAGGUGCUGCAUGGUUGUCGUCAGCUCGUGCCGUGAGGUGUCGGCUUAAGUGCCAUAACGAGCGCAACCCCUACUGUUAGUUACCAUCAGGUCAAGCUGGGGACUCUGACAGGACUGCCGCCGUAAGGUGUGAGGAAGGUGGGGAUGACGUCAAAUCAGCACGGCCCUUACGUCCGGGGCUACACACGUGUUACAAUGGGGGGGACAAAGGGUCGCUACCGUGCGAACGGAUGCUAAUCUCUAAACCCUCUCCCAGUUCGGAUAGGAGUCUGCAACCCGACUCCUUGAAGCUGGAUUCGCUAGUAAUCGCGCAUCAGCCAUGGCGCGGUGAAUACGUUCCCGGGCCUUGUACACACCGCCCGUCAAGCCAUGGAAGUUGGGGGUACCUGAAGUCCGUAACCGCAAGGAUCGGCCUAGGGUAAAACUAGUAACUGGGGCU